GUUGCAGUGGCUCAGUGGUUAAGAUAUCGGGUCACAGAUCAGAAGGUCAUGUGUUCAAAUCCCAGCACCGCCA